UACGAAGGGGGCUAGCGUUGCUCGGAAUUACUGGGCGUAAAGCGCACGUAGGCGGCUUUCUAAGUCGGGGGUGAAAUCCUGGAGCUCAACUCCAGAACUGCCUUCGAUACUGGAGAGCUCGAGUCCGGGAGAGGUGAGUGGAACUGCGAGUGUAGAGGUGAAAUGCGUAGAUAUCGGAAGGAACAUCAGUGGCGAAAGCGGCUUCCUGGUCCAGCACCGACGUUCAGGCACGAAAGCGUGGGGAGCAAACAGGG
rnacentral:rRNA from 1 species